GCAAACUUGGUCAUUUAGAGGAAGUAAAAGUCGUAACAAGGUUUCCGUAGGUGAACCUGCGGAAGGAUCAUUAACGAGUUUUGAAACGGGUUGUAGCUGGCCUUCCGAGGCAUGUGCACGCCCUGCUCAUCCACUCUACACCUGUGCACUUACUGUAGGUCGGCGUGGGUUUCUAACCUCCGGGUUGGGAAGCAUUCUGCUGGCCUAUGUCUAUUACAAACCCUUUAAAGUAUCAGAAUGUAAACGCGUCUAACGCAUCUUAAUACAACUUUCAGCAACGGAUCUCUUGGCUCUCGCAUCGAUGAAGAACGCAGC
rnacentral:misc_RNA from 1 species